GAGGGUGAAAGUAAAGUCGUAAAAAGGUUUCCGUAGGUGAACCUGCGGAAGGAUCAUUA
rnacentral:rRNA from 1 species